AUGUUUGCACUUUAAAACGAAACUAGGAUAAAUCGAAGAUUGUAUUCAGAAAAUACUAAACCAAUUUCAGGAUUUCUAAUAGCGACUAGAAGAUAUCUAGGAAAGGUAGGCAUGUCUGUGAAUAUAAGAAGUGUAAAGCUAUUGCAUUAACACCAAAUAUGUUGUAUAUAAUAAGGCGCAAUGGUCAUGUCCAUUUAAACGAUAUAUUUAUUUACUUUAAACGAAGAGCUCUGUAUUAAAAUAUGGGAUAUAGGAUAGCUGAAAUGUAUACAUAUUUGGAAGUAUGCUUGACUUAAUAAACCUAGAUAAGCAAUUAUUACCGAAAAAUAAUAUUUAAAAGUUUUAAGAUCUAAUGGUUGAUUUUUUUUUUUUUUUAUUUAUUAUUUUUUCAUAUGCAUACAAACAUUUUAAUAAUAUAAUUCAAAGCCAUUUUUUAUUCAUCCACUCACACAUUCGUGCUCACAUUCAUCCAGAUUUGGCAGUGGUUGCUUAUUUAACAAAGGCAAACAGUUAAUAUUAAUAAUAA
rnacentral:misc_RNA from 1 species